AUAAUGAUACUUCCGUAGCCGAUAAAGUAGGCGCGGUCCGCGGAGUACCCGGGGAUGGUGAGAGUCCAAUGA
rnacentral:ncRNA from 1 species